UUGAACGCUGGCGGCAUGCCUUACACAUGCAAGUCGAACGGUAGAGGGGCAACCCUUGAGAGUGGCGAACGGGUGAGUAAUAUAUCGGAACGUGCCCAGUCGUGGGGGAUAACGCAGCGAAAGCUGCGCUAAUACCGCAUACGAUCUAUGGAUGAAAGCGGGGGAUCGCAAGACCUCGCGCGAUUGGAGCGGCCGAUAUCAGAUUAGGUAGUUGGUGGGGUAAAAGCCCACCAAGCCGACGAUCUGUAGCCG
rnacentral:rRNA from 1 species